rnacentral:rRNA from 1 species
GGGUUGUGAGGUUAAGCGAAUAAGCGUACACGGUGGAUGCCUAGGCAAUCAGAGGCGAUGAAGGACGUGCUAAUCUGCGAAAAGCGUCGGUAAGGUGAUAUGAACCGUUAUACCCGACGAUAUCCGAAUGGGGAAACCCAGUAUCCAAUGGAUACUAUCAUUAACUGAAUCCAUAGGUUAAUGAGGCGAACCGGGAGAACUGAAACAUCUCAGUACCCCGAGGAAAAGAAAUCAACCGAGAUUCCCCUAGUAGCGGCGAGCGAACGGGGAGCAGCCCAGAGUCUUAAUCAAUAGCAGUGUCAGGAGAACGGUCUGGAAAGUCCGGCAGUAAAGGGUGAUAGCCCCGUAUCUGAAGAUGCUGUUAUUGUGAACUCGACGAGUAGGGCGGGACACGUGUUAUCCUGUCUGAAUAUGGGGGGACCAUCCUCCAAGGCUAAAUACUCCUGAUUGACCGAUAGUGAACCAGUACCGUGAGGGAAAGGCGAAAAGAACCCCGGCGAGGGGAGUGAAAAAGAACCUGAAACCGUGUACGUACAAGCAGUAGGAGCCUCUUUAUGGGGUGACUGCGUACCUUUUGUAUAAUGGGUCAGCGACUUAUAUUCUGUAGCAAGGUUAACCGUAUAGGGGAGCCGUAGGGAAACCGAGUCUUAACUGGGCGAAUGAGUUGCAGGGUAUAGACCCGAAACCCGGUGAUCUAUCCAUGGGCAGGUUGAAGGUUGGGUAAAACUAACUGGAGGACCGAACCGACUAAUGUUGAAAAAUUAGCGGAUGACUUGUGGAUGGGGGUGAAAGGCCAAUCAAACCGGGAGAUAGCUGGUUCUCCCCGAAAGCUAUUUAGGUAGCGCCUCGUGAACUCAUCUUCGGGGGUAGAGCACUGUUUCGACUAGGGGGUCAUCCCGACUUACCAACUCGAUGCAAACUGCGAAUACCGAAGAAUGUUAUCACGGGAGACACACGGCGGGUGCUAACGUCCGUCGUGAAGAGGGAAACAACCCAGACCGCCAGCUAAGGUCCCAAAGUCAUGGUUAAGUGGGAAACGAAGUGGGAAGGCUCAGACAGCCAGGAUGUUGGCUUAGAAGCAGCCAUCAUUUAAAGAAAGCGUAAUAGCUCACUGGUCGAGUCGGCCCGCGCGGAAGAUGUAACGGGGCUAAACCAUGCACCGAAGCUGCGGCAGCGACACAAAGUGUUGUUGGGUAGGGGAGCGUUCUGUAAGCCUGCGAAGGUGUACUGUGAGGUAUGCUGGAGGUAUCAGAAGUGCGAAUGCUGACAUAAGUAACGAUAAUGCGGGUGAAAAACCCGCACGCCGGAAGACCAAGGGUUCCUGUCCAACGUUAAUCGGGGCAGGGUGAGUCGACCCCUAAGGCGAGGCUGAAAAGCGUAGUCGAUGGGAAACGGGUUAAUAUUCCCGUACUGGUGGUAACUGCGAUGGGGGAACGGAGAAGGCUAGGUUGUCCGGGCGACGGUCGUCCCGGUUCAAGCAGGUAGGCAGAGUGAUUAGGCAAAUCCGGUCACUUAAUGCUGAGAUGUGAUGACGAACCACCAAGGUGGUGAAGCAAUUGAUGCCCCGCUUCCAGGAAAAGCCUCUAAGCUUCAGGUUACCAACAAUCGUACCCCAAACCGACACAGGUGGUCAGGUAGAGAAUACUCAGGCGCUUGAGAGAACUCGGGUGAAGGAACUAGGCAAAAUGGUGCCGUAACUUCGGGAGAAGGCACGCUGGCGGUAGGUAAAGUCCCUCGCGGACGGCGCUGAAGCCAGUCGAAGAUACCAGCUGGCUGCAACUGUUUAUUAAAAACACAGCACUGUGCAAACACGAAAGUGGACGUAUACGGUGUGACGCCUGCCCGGUGCUGGAAGGUUAAUUGAUGGGGUCAGCCGUAAGGCGAAGCUCCUGAUCGAAGCCCCAGUAAACGGCGGCCGUAACUAUAACGGUCCUAAGGUAGCGAAAUUCCUUGUCGGGUAAGUUCCGACCUGCACGAAUGGCGUAAUGAUGGCCAGGCUGUCUCCACCCGAGACUCAGUGAAAUUGAACUCGCUGUGAAGAUGCAGUGUACCCGCGGCAAGACGGAAAGACCCCGUGAACCUUUACUAUAGCUUGACACUGAACAUUGAGCCUUGAUGUGUAGGAUAGGUGGGAGGCUUUGAAGUGUGGACGCCAGUCUGCAUGGAGCCAACCUUGAAAUACCACCCUUUAACGUUUGAUGUUCUAACCUAGGCCCAUAAACUGGGUCGGGGACCGUGUCUGGUGGGUAGUUUGACUGGGGCGGUCUCCUCCUAAAGAGUAACGGAGGAGCACGAAGGUUGGCUAAGCAUGGUCGGACAUCAUGCGGUUAGUGCAAAGGCAUAAGCCAGCUUGACUGCGAGAGUGACGGCUCGAGCAGGUACGAAAGUAGGUCUUAGUGAUCCGGUGGUUCUGAAUGGAAGGGCCAUCGCUCAACGGAUAAAAGGUACUCCGGGGAUAACAGGCUGAUACCGCCCAAGAGUUCAUAUCGACGGCGGUGUUUGGCACCUCGAUGUCGGCUCAUCACAUCCUGGGGCUGAAGUAGGUCCCAAGGGUAUGGCUGUUCGCCAUUUAAAGUGGUACGCGAGCUGGGUUUAGAACGUCGUGAGACAGUUCGGUCCCUAUCUGCCGUGGGCGUUGGAAGAUUGAGAGGGGUUGCUCCUAGUACGAGAGGACCGGAGUGAACGCACCACUGGUGUUCGGGUUGUCAUGCCAAUGGCAUUGCCCGGUAGCUAAGUGCGGAAGAGAUAACCGCUGAAAGCAUCUAAGCGGGAAACUUGCCUCGAGAUGAGUCUUCCCUGUCACUUUAAGUGACCUAAAGGAACGUUUAAGACUAAGACGUUGAUAGGCUGGGUGUGUAAGCGUAGCGAUACGUUGAGCUAACCAGUACUAAUGAACCGUGAGGCUUAACCUGACAACACCGAAAGUGUUUUG